rnacentral:rRNA from 1 species
CCUACGGGAGGUAGCAGUGAGGAAUAUUGGUCAAUGGGCGCGAGCCUGAACCAGCCAAGUAGCGUGAAGGAUGACUGCCCUACGGGUUGUAAACUUCUUUUAUCAAGGGAUAAAGUGAGGCACGUGUGCCUUUUUGUAUGUAUUUUAUGAAUAAAGAUCGGCUAACUCCGUGCCAGCAGCCGCGGUAAUACGGAGGAUCCGAGCGGUGACCGGAUUUAUUGGGGUUAACGGGAGCGUAGAUGGGUGGUUAAGUCAGUUGUGAAAGUUUGCGGCUCAACCGUAAAAUUGCAAUUGAUACUGGCCGCCUUGAGUACAGUAGAGGGAGGCUGAAUUCGUGGGGUAGCGGUGAAAUGCUUAGAUAUGACGAAGAACUCCGAUUGCGAAGGCAGCCUACUAAACUGCCACUGACAUUGAUGCUCGAAAGUGUGGGUAGCAAACAGGAUUAGAUACCCGUGUAGUC